GGAGGCUGGGGUGGGAGGAUCCCUUGAGCCCAGGAAUUUUGAGGCUGCUGUGAGCCAUGAUCAUGCCACUGCACUCUCUAGACUGGGUGACAGAACAAGACCCUGCCACUUAAAAAAACAAUGAUGAUUGAUCUGUCAUUUAGUUACUGUUAAAAAAAAAAUGAGUUUAAUCUUUGAAAGGAAUAUAAUUAAAAGCAUGAAACAGAUAUGUUUAUAUAUUUUUUUAGGUGUUCCUCCAAGAAAAGCUGGUUAUAUUGAAGACCUGGUUUUGAUGCUGCCUCAGAACAUUUGGGAUAACCUAUAUAGCAGGUAUGGUGGAGGACCAGCUGUGAACCAUCUGUACAUUUGUCACACUUGCCAAAUUGAGGCGGAGAAAAUUGAAAAAAGAAGAAAAACUGAAUUGGAAAUUUUUAUUCGGGUAAAAAAGUGAUGCUUUUCAAAUUGAUCUAGGAUAAAGAUGAAGACCUGACAAUUAUCAGAGUUAUAUGAUAUUAAUAAAAUGAUUGGAUGAAAGAGUUGUAAUAGAUUUCAAGUGUUCUAGGUGCAUAAUGGUGAAUGACCUCAGGCAGUUCACUACAGUUCUGUUGAGUUAUGUUCUCCCUUUGUGUUUUUUUUUUUGUGUGUGUGUGUGUGUGUGAGACAAAAUCUUGCUCUGUCACCC
rnacentral:sRNA from 1 species